CCUGAGAAACCCAAAAGAUCGAAUGAGGAGAUUCAUCGUCAGCUCAUUUUGUAUAUGCAUGAGUUACGAUGCGGGUUACUACUUGUAGUAUUGCCUGCACGUUCUUAUGCAUUUAGUUGCAAGAUGUUGUCGGCGUGCACUUCUUCUCUAGUAGGACGUCGCGACCCGUUGGGUGUCGGUCUACGGCCCAAGUGGGAGCCUUUAAUGUUUAACAACGUUAAAGACCCUUGGUGUUUCCUGACCGGCUACUCGGCGGUACUCGUACGGUAUUGAGCCGCAUAUUAUGCGUCCAUGCCCGUCACAAGCGCGGCCAAUUAUUGGUAGUACGGACCUAGUGCCGUCGCUGAUAUUGGCCAGCUGUUGGUUGUACGGUGUUCUAGGACUGGCUAUAUUACCGGUCGGCGAUGCUACUGCU
rnacentral:rRNA from 1 species